ACACCCUGGUGUUACUUGAGUAGCUAAACCUUUUGGAUGGCGUCCAGUCCAGCCUUCUCAUCUUUGUGUCAGAUUCCACUCUGUGGGGAAUAGUGACGUCACAAGGUCACUGAGUAAAUGGUCUGAGGAAGCAUAAUGUGGAUGUGAAUAUGGCCUCCCCCCAAACCUGCCCCAUACCUAAUGCAUAGACUCCAUGGAGCAGACACUCUGCCUGGCAUCUAGAAUCAGGACCACAGUAAGAGUUUGAAACUACCAGGAGCUCCAAGAACAGUGAUGGCGGUGGUGUAUGAAAUAACCUCUGGGCUGCACUCUGACUAUAGUCAGAUCUUCUACAGCAGGCUUCUUCCUUCCCUCAGAGUGACAGCCCCUCUUGUGCGGGGGCAGUUUUUGGCGUGCCUCCUUCAGAAAGACAGGGUAUAAACUUGAGACUUUGUCAUUUA